GAUGAACGCUGGCGGCGCGCCGAAUACAUGCAAGUCGAGCGAAGCGGGGACGGGUGAGUAACACGUGGAUAACCUCCUAUAAGACUGGGAUAACUUCGGGAGGCCGGGGUUAAACCGGAUACUUCAAGAUGGAUUCGAGCUGGCUGAGCUAGUUGGUAAGGGAACGGCUUACCAAGGCAACGAUGUAUAGCCGACCUGGGAGGGUGAUCGGCCACACUGGAACUGAGCCACGGUCCAGAAUCCUACGGGAGGCAGCAUUAGGGAAUCUUCCGCAAUUGGCGAAAGCCUGACGGAGCAACGCCGCGUAAGUGAUGAAGGUCUUCGGAUCGUAAAACGCUGUUAUUAGGGAAGCGGUACCUAAUCCGAAAGCCACGGCUAACUACGUGCCAGCAGCCGCGGUAAUAC
rnacentral:rRNA from 1 species